rnacentral:lncRNA from 10 species
AUGAAAUAUUAUAUAUUAUUAACCAUAAGCUAUCCAUAUUAUAAACUUUAUACAUGAUAUACAUAUAUUAAUAAAGUCUAAUAAAAACCAACCUUAUAAAACUAGGAGUACAAUCAGCCCUCUAUACCUGUUGGUUCCACAUCUGCGCAUUCAACCAACCACAGAUCAAAAAUAUUCAAAAAAUAAAAGAUAAUACAAAUUUUUAAAUGCAGUAUAACAACUAUUUAUAUAGCAACCUAAUGAAGAGAAUCUGUAAUAAACCUACAACUAACAUCAUUCUCUCUUUUUUUUCUUUUUUCAAGACAGGUCUUGCUCUGUUGCCCAGGUUGGAGUAAAAUGGUACAAUCACAGUUCACUGCAGCCUCGACCUCUCCAGUUCAAGUGAUCCUCCUGACUCUGCCUUCUGAGUGGCUGAGACUAUAGGCAUGCAUCAUUAUGCCUGGCUUUUUAAAAAACUUUUUGUAAAGAUGGGGUCUCCCUAUGUUGCCCAGGCUGAUCUUGAACACCUGGGCUCAAGGGAUCCUCCUGCCUUGGCAUCCCAAAGUAUUGAGAUUACAGGCAUGAGCCACCAUGCCUGGUCCUAACAUCAUUUUUUGGAUACUGCGCUUACUUCCUAAGAUCAAGAACAAGGUAAGGACAUCACCCUACUCACUUCUAUUUAACAUUGUACUGGAUGUUCUGUCCAGGACAAUAAGGUAAGAAAAAGGAACAAAAACCAUAGAAAUUAGAAAAAAAUAGGUAAAUUCUCCUUAUUUUUAAGCAACAUGACUGUCUGGUGUAAAUCCCCAUGGAUUUUACAAAAAAGUUAUUAAAACUAAUAAGAGAGUUUAUCAAUUUGAAAAGUUACAAGAUCAAUAUAGAAAAAUAAAUUUUAUCUCUAUAUACUUUGCACUGAG